UACGUAGGGGGCUAGCGUUGUCCGGAUUUAUUGGGCGUAAAGAGCGUGUAGGCGGCCAGGCAGGUCUGCUGUGAAAACUCGAGGCUCAACCUCGAGAUGUCGGCGGAAACCAUCUGGCUAGAGUUCGGAAGAGGCGAGUGGAAUUCCCGGUGUAGCGGUGAAAUGCGCAGAUAUCGGGAGGAACACCUAUGGCGAAGGCAGCUCGCUGGGACGUUACUGACGCUGAGACGCGAAAGCGUGGGGAGCAAACAGG
rnacentral:rRNA from 1 species